rnacentral:lncRNA from 1 species
UCUCUCCCUCUUUCAGCAACCUUACAAGCGCCGUCACUCCUCAGAGCGAGUUCUCCGGAGUCGGAGCGCGGCCCUCCUCCAUGAGCUCCCUGCACAUCUCGGUCGGUGGUGAGCUCGUGCUUGCCAUCAGGGAGCACGCCCACGCCGUGUCUGGUGAAAGUUCCAUGGCAAGGAAAGGCUAGAUGGACCUCCUGUGCGGUCAUUUUCUUCUCUCCCUCUCCCU